rnacentral:rRNA from 1 species
GACGAACGCUGGCGGCGUGCCUAAUACAUGCAAGUCGAACGCUGUUGCGAACGGGUGAGUAACGCGUAGGUACCUGCCUCAUAGCGGGGGUUAACUAUUGUAAACGUUAGCUAAUACCGCAUAAUGUGAGAUGGACCUGCGUUGUAUUAGCUAGUUGGUGAGGUAAAGGCUCACCAAGGCGACGAUACAUAGCCGACCUGAGAGGGGGAUCGGGCACAAUGGGAAUUAGACAAGGCCCAGACUUAUACGGGAGGCAGCAGUAGGGAAUCUUCAGCAAUGGAAGGAAGUCUGACAGAGCAACGACGAGGGAGUGAAGAAGGUUUUCUGGUCGGAAAGCUCUGUUAUUAGAGAAGCGGUAACUAACCGGAAAGGGACGGCUAACUACGUGCCAGCCGCCGCGGUAAUAC